rnacentral:rRNA from 1 species
GACAGAGGUGCCGAGCGUUAGGCGGAAUCACUGGGCUUAAAGCGUGUGUAGGCGGACUUGUAAGUACCUUGUGAAAUCCCACAGCUCAACUGUGGAACUGCUUGGUAUACUGCUUGUCUUGAGCCACUUAGGGGCAGUCGGAACAGACGGUGGAGCGGUGAAAUGCGUAGAUAUCGGAAGGAACACCGGUGGCGAAAGCGGCGCGCUGGACCUCUACUGACGCUGAGGCGCGAAAGCCAGGGGAGCAAACGGG